rnacentral:rRNA from 1 species
UACGUAGGGCGCAAGCGUUGUCCGGAAUUAUUGGGCGUAAAGAGCUCGUAGGCGGUUUGUCGCGUCUGCUGUGAAAACUCGAGGCUCAACCUCGGGCUUGCAGUGGGUACGGGCAGACUAGAGUGCGGUAGGGGAGACUGGAAUUCCUGGUGUAGCGGUGGAAUGCGCAGAUAUCAGGAGGAACACCGGUGGCGAAGGCGGGUCUCUGGUCCGUUACUGACGCUGAGGCUCGAAAGCGUGGGGAGCAAACAGG